GGGGUUGUGGCUCAGUGGUAGAGCACUUGCCUCACAUAUGCAAGGUCAUGGGUUUGAUCCUCAGCACCA
rfam:Ictidomys tridecemlineatus contig015525, whole genome shotgun sequence.